rnacentral:lncRNA from 1 species
AGAGUGCUUCGGAAAAGCUGAAGAAGUCAGAUGCACCAAGAGUACUUUGGAAUGGAGUCCGCGAGAGCAAAUGGUGCAAGAAUCUGCACAUAGCAGAUUUGCUCUCGGGGACCGGUCCCUGGCGGGAGGGACCGGUUCCCGAACGUGGUCUGCGCGAGCCUUGCUCUCGGGGACCGGUCCCAGGAGGGAGGGACCGGUUGCCCUGAGGCCGAGGGUUGCGCAGCGCGGGGCAACCGGUCCCAUGGCAGGGAGAGACCGGUCCCCGAGUGUGCAACUUGCACAGGCAGGCUGGGUUGUGUUGGAGGAGUCGGAGAGCUUAAGGAUAAUGCUCUUUUAUGGAUUGAGAUUCGAGAUGCGCCGAAGUUGGCCAUCAACUAGUAGAGCAAAGAUCCAAGUGUAGUUGGAGCACUCGCGGUUGGGUGAUGCACCAAUGAUAUUGCUUUUGAGCAAUGUUGGUGAUCAAAUCGGAAUGCCCCGAGGGGGGAAAGUGAAUGCAAAGAAGAGUUCUUGCA